CGGGCUGUAGUGUAACGGUGGCACGCUUGCAUGGGGUGCAAGAAGCAUCACGGGGUUCGACUCCCCGCAGCCCGA
rnacentral:tRNA from 1 species